ensembl:snoRNA Gm23262 predicted gene, 23262
UUGCCCGAUGAUUAUAAAAAAAGACGCUUUAAGAGGACUUAUGCUGGAGUUCUUUUCUUCUUUCUCUUUCUUUUCUAUACUACUAUUUCUUUCUUUGUAUGUCCAGCGUCCUAUGAGCGAAGAUUAUGAGAUAUGAGGGCAA